GACCCAGUGUGGUGUAGCGGUUUCAGCACUAGACUAGGACUCUGGAGACCAGGGUUCAAACCCAGUUUAGUCA